AAUAGAUACCCUGGUAGUCCAUGCCGUAAACGUUGGGCACUAGGUGUGGGGCUCAUUCCACGAGUCCCGUGCCGCAGCAAACGCAUUAAGUGCCCCGCCUGGGGAGUACGGCCGCAAGGCUAAAACUCAAAGGAAUUGACGGGGGCCCGCACAAGCGGCGGAGCAUGCGGAUUAAUUCGAUGCAACGCGAAGAACCUUACCAAGGCUUGACAUGCACGGGAAGCCACCAGAGAUGGUGGUCUCUUUGGACACUCGUGCACAGGUGGUGCAUGGUUGUCGUCAGCUCGUGUCGUGAGAUGUUGGGUUAAGUCCCGCAACGAGCGCAACCCUCGUCCCAUGUUGCCAGCGGGUUAUGCCGGGGACUCAUGGGAGACUGCCGGGAUCAACUCGGAGGAAGGUGGGGAUGACGUCAAAUCAUCAUGCCCCUUAUGUCUUGGGCUUCACGCAUGCUACAAUGGCCGGUACAAAGGGCUGCGAUACCGUAAGGUGGAGCGAAUCCCAAAAGCCGGUCUCAGUUCGGAGUU
rnacentral:rRNA from 1 species